CCCUUAGAUGUUCUGGGCCGCACGCGUGCUACACUGAGUGGAUCAGCGGGUCAGGUUGCGCGAAAGUGUUUCCUAAUCUUGAAAUCCGCUCGUGAUGGGGAUUGACGGUUGCAAUUUUCCGUCAUGAACGAGGAAUACCUUGUAAGCGCGGGUCAUCAUCCCGCGCUGAAUACGUCCCUGCCCUUUGUACACACCGCCCGUCGCUCCUACCGAUUGAGUGGCCCGGUGAGGCUUUGGGAUCUGAGCAAAGAGAGCGUUUCGCUCGUUUUGCUCGGAAAACUCAGUCGAACCUUAUCAUUUAGAGGAAGGAGAAGUCGUAACA
rnacentral:rRNA from 1 species